rnacentral:rRNA from 1 species
GAUGAACGCUGGCGGCGUGCCUAAUACAUGCAAGUCGAGCGAACAGACGCGGAGCUUUCUCCUCUGACGUUAGCGGCGGACGGAGGAGUAACACGUGGAUACCCUCCCUAUAAGAAUGGGAUAACUUCGGGAAACCGGAGCUAAUACCGGAUAAUAUAUUGAACGGCAUGGUUCAAUAGUGAAAGACGGUUUUGCUGUCACUUAUAGAUGGAUCCGCGUCGCAUUAGCUAGUUGGUAAGGUAACGGCUUACCAAGGCAACGAUGCGUAGCCGACCUGAGAGGGCGAUCGGCCACACUGGAACUGAGACACGGUCCAGACUCCUACGGGAGGCAGCAGUAGGGAAUCUUCGGCAAUGGGCGAAAGCUUGACGGAGCAACGCCGCGUGAGUGAUGAAGGUCUUCGGAUCGUAAACCUCUGUUAUUAGGGAAGAACAAAUGUGUAAGUAACUAUGCACGUCUUGACGGUACCGAAUCAGAAAGCAACGGCUAACUACGUG